AUCGAACGCUGGCGGCAGGCCUAACACAUGCAAGUCGAGCGAGCGGCGGACGGGUGAGCAAUGUCUGGGAAACUGCCUGAUGGAGGGGGAUAACUACUGGAAACGGUAGCUAAUACCGCAUACCAUCAGAUCUGCCCAGAUGGGAGUAGCUAGUAGGUGGGGUAAUGGCUCACCUAGGCGACGAUCCCUAGCUGGGCUGAGAGGAUGACCAGCAAAACUGGAACAGGGACACGUUCCAGAAUCCUACGGGAGGCAGCAGUAGGGAAUAUUGCACAAUGGGCGAAAGCCUGAUGCAGCAAUGCCGCGUGUGUGAAGAAGGCCUUCGGGUUGUAAAGCACUUUAAGCAAGGAAGCGUUACUCGCAGAGAAAGCACCGGCUAACUCCGUGCCAGCAGCCGCGGUAAUAC
rnacentral:rRNA from 1 species